UUAGAUGUCGCUGUAGAUUUAGCAGCACUGUACUGUAAAAAUCCACAGUACUAUACUGUAUGUGUACAUUACAGUAAAGUACUGCAGUUCAUAGUGCAUUCUGGGUAAAUUUGUUUGAGCGGGAAAAUUUUACAGUAUAUUUUGGUCUUGAUGUAACCUUGCUGUAGCCAUUGCUGUAAUGUGCCAGGUGUACUUGCAAUAAUCAGAGAAAGUGCGCCAACGUCAAAUCACACAGAGGGAGAGAGAGCACAACUCCUGGCUGCAGCUGAAGAAGGAGGACGAUUGAUUUCUGUCAGUUCGCUCUAACGUUACAGUUUGCUCCACUUUGCUCUGUGGUUUAUAUGUUUUCUUCUUACCAUUGCUUGUAAGCUGGAUUGAGUAAGAUGGAUCAUCUUUAAAGGAACCAGGAGUUAAGGCAGAUGUGGAGGCACAACGGGUGACACCAGACACACACCAAGCACAUUGUUCGGACAUUCAAUCAUGACAUGAUCCAUGUGGAUGCUGUCCAUUGAGGAAAGAGUUUGUUCAGAGGUUUCUGAGCAGAAUUAAUCCCAAAGAUGGGAAAAAGUGCACAUCCAGACAAGGAGCAAGCAAAAAGACAAGGAACUUGGUGCAGAGAAAAGCUGUGGCCAUUAACCCCCAUGUGAACAGCUUCAUGCAGUCCCUGAUAGAGUUUGAAUGUGCGACUUCAAACCAAAGGCCAGUGUCUGUCUGCCACAGUUUAAUGCAUUUAUUUUUAGUGUUCAAUAAAAUUCAAAUAGAAUAUUUAAAACUAUGGGCCAGUGUUCUUUUUACCACAGUUAAAUGUUACCUUUUAGUUGAUGAUGGACUUAAAACUUCAAACUAUGGAACAGUGUUCUUUUUACCACAGUGAAAUGUUACCUUUUAG